rnacentral:rRNA from 1 species
AUUCCAGCUCCAAUAGCGUAUAUUAAAGUUGUUGCAGUUAAAAAGCUCGUAGUUGGAUUUCUGGUGGGGCUGUCGGCCUGGCUCCGAAAGGGGUCGUGGUUAGUACACGCCGGGCCAUCCUCGGGGGAAGCUUUGCUGGCAUUAAGUUGUCGGCGGAGUGACGCUCGUCGUUUACUGUGAACAAAUUAGAGUGUUCAAAGCAGGCUUAGGCCGUUGAAUACAUUAGCAUGGAAUAAUGAGAUAGGACUUUGGUGGUCUAUUUUGUUGGUUUGCACGCCGAAGUAAUGAUUAAUAGGGGCGGUUGGGGGUAUUCGUAUUCAAUUGUCAGAGGUGAAAUUCUUGGAUUUAUGGAAGACGAACUACUGCGAAAGCAUUUACCAAGGAUGUUUUCAUCG